rnacentral:rRNA from 1 species
CCCUUAGAUGUCCUGGGCCGCACGCGCGCUACACUGAGUGUCUGAGAUACGAGUCUGCCUGGUCCGGCAAGGUCUAGGUAAUCGCUAAAAGACACAUCAUGCUUGGGAUAGAUUAUUGCAAAUAUUAAUCUUGAACGAGGAAUUCCUAGUAAGCGCAAGUCAACAGCUUGCGUUGAUUACGUCCCUGCCCUUUGUACACACCGCCCGUCGCUACUACUGAUUGGAUGUUUAAGCGAGGUUCUCGAACAGCUAGCGACUUAGCUUCGGUGAGGUCGCAGUGUGGGAAGUGAACCUAGCUUUGGUGUCUAGAGGAAGUAAAAGUCGUAACA